GCCCAGACUCCUACGGGAGGCAGCAGUGGGGAAUAUUGCACAAUGGGGGAAACCCUGAUGCAGCGACGCCGCGUGAGUGAAGAAGUAUUUCGGUAUGUAAAGCUCUAUCAGCAGGGAAGAUAAUGACGGUACCUGACUAAGAAGCCCCGGCUAACUACGUGCCAGCAGCCGCGGUAAUACGUAGGGGGCAAGCGUUAUCCGGAUUUACUGGGUGUAAAGGGAGCGCAGGCGGCGCGGUAAGUCUGAUGUGAAAGGCCGGGGCUCAACCCCGGGACUGCAUUGGAAACUGUCGUGCUGGAGUGUCGGAGGGGCAAGUGGAAUUCCUAGUGUAGCGGUGAAAUGCGUAGAUAUUAGGAGGAACACCAGUGGCGAAGGCGGCUUGCUGGACGACAACUGACGCUGAGGCUCGAAAGCGUGGGGAGCAAACAGGAUUAGAUACCCUGGUACGC
rnacentral:rRNA from 1 species